AUUAAACGCUGGCGGCAUGCCUUACACAUGCAAGUCGAACGGCAGCGGGGGAGAAGCUUGCUUUUCCUGCCGGCGAGUGGCGAACGGGUGAGUAAUACAUCGGAACGUGCCCUGUAGUGGGGGAUAACUAGUCGAAAGAUUAGCUAAUACCGCAUACGACCUGAGGGUGAAAGUGGGGGACCGCAAGGCCUCAUGCUAUAGGAGCGGCCGAUGUCUGAUUAGCUAGUUGGUGGGGUAAAGGCCUACCAAGGCGACGAUCAGUAGCUGGUCUGAGAGGACGAUCAGCCACACUGGGACUGAGACACGGCCCAGACUCCUACGGGAGGCAGCAGUGGGGAAUUUUGGACAAUGGGCGAAAGCCUGAUCCAGCAAUGCCGCGUGUGUGAAGAAGGCCUUCGGGUUGUAAAGCACUUUUGUCCGGAAAGAAAUGGCUCUGGUUAAUACCUGGGGUCGAUGACGGUGCCGGAAGAAUAAGGACCGGCUAACUACGUGCCAGCAGCCGCGGUAA
rnacentral:rRNA from 1 species